rnacentral:tRNA from 1 species
UCCCCUGUAGCUCAGUUGGUAGAGCAGCUGACUGUUAAUCAGCGGGCCGUUGGUUCGAGUCCAACCGGGGGAG